rnacentral:rRNA from 1 species
UACAGAGGUCCCAAGCGUUGUUCGGAUUCAUUGGGCGUAAAGGGUGUGUAGGUGGCGCCGUAAGUCGGGUGUGAAAUCUCGGGGCUUAACUCCGAAACUGCAUUCGAUACUGCGGUGCUUGAGGACUGGAGAGGAGACUGGAAUUCAUGGUGUAGCAGUGAAAUGCGUAGAGAUCAUGAGGAAGACCAAUGGCGAAGGCGGGUCUCUGGGCAGUUCCUGACACUGAGACACGAAGGCCAGAGGAGCAAACGGG